GACGUAGGGCGCGAGCGUUGUCCGGAUUUAUUGGGCGUAAAGAGCUCGUAGGCGGCUUGUCGCGUCGUCCGUGAAAACCUGCAGCUCAACUGCAGGCUUGCGGUCGAUACGGGCAGGCUAGAGUUCGGUAGGGGAGACUGGAAUUUCUGGUGUAGCGGUGAAAUGCGCAGAUAUCAGGAGGAACACCGGUGGCGAAGGCGGGUCUCUGGGCCGAUACUGACGCUGAGGAGCGAAAGCGUGGGGAGCAAACAGG
rnacentral:rRNA from 1 species